AUUGAACGCUGGCGGCAGGCCUAACACAUGCAAGUCGAACGGUAACACGAAACCGCUUGCUGUUUCGCUGACGAGUGGCGGACGGGUGAGUAAUGUCUGGCAAACUGCCUGAUGGAGGGGGAUAACUACUGGAAACGGUAGCUAAUACCGCAUAACGUCGCAAGACCAAAGAGGGGGAGCUUCUGGCCUCUUGCCAUCGUAUGUGCCCAGAUGGGAUUAGCUAGUAGGUGGGGUAACGGCUCACCUAGUCGACGAUCCCUAGCUGGUCUGAGAGGAUGACCGGCCACACGGGAAGUGAGACACGGUCCAGAGUCCUAAGGGAGGCAGCAGUGGGGAAUAUGGGGCAGUGGGGGGAAGCCUGAUGCAGCGAGGGCGCGUGUAUGAAGAAGGCGUUCGGGUUGUAAAGUACUUUCAGCGGGGAGGAAGGGAGUAAAGUUGAGACGUUGACUCAGUGACGUUACCGGGAGAAGAAGCACCGGCUAACUCCGUG
rnacentral:rRNA from 1 species